CUCCCUCUCUCGAUUUCCUUUUUCCUCUCUCCCUCUUGAUCAAAAUCGGUUUUUCUCCUCCGACGAUCUUCCCCUCUCUCCUGUGAAGCACUCUGGGAUGCCAUUGCAGCCAUUUGCAACUCAGAUCCAGCGAGACAACAGCUGGCAAUGAAGCCAACCUUCCAACUUUUUGAUCUAGAUUAGAGAUGGUUUCCAACAAAUGCACAACCCUUAUCAAGUAAGGGGUUUUUGGAGAUUGGAGAUGGUGGGCAGGAGAUGCAGCGGCAAGGGUUUCGGAUUUGCAGCUGGAGGUGGGUUUGGAGCUUGCGACUAGAGCUGACUCGCUUGUUACAAGGUCAUUCCAUCCUGGAAUGAACUGAAAACACAAAUACUAGCCUGGUUCAAAAUUUGGAUCUCACACCCGUGUGCCAUAUUGGCACAUAUGCUUGCAUUUGGGUUUGUAAGAAUGUGGAAGGCCAAAGAUAUUCCAAGCGGUUAAAUGAGAGAAAUUUCCAGGUGGUAUCGACUUGAGGCAUUUCCGGAUUGCGGGUUGGCUUUCUACAGUUUAUGGGAGAUUCUCAAGUUGCCCCACAUCAUCAUCAUCAACAAUAGACAAAUCCUUGAGGUCAUUACAUGUUCUCAAUCUAAGUCCCUCUGCAAUCCCAAUCCGAAAUCCCCUGCGAAUUCCGAGGCUGCUCCAUGUUCCGCGAGAACAAGUGGAAGAACAACCGAAGAGUGUGUGAGAUAAUGGAGCAGAGCUGGAUAGUAGACUAAUAGGUGCAAUCCCCAUCCAUUCAUCUUUUAUUUUCUCUGCUUAAACAAAUGGUAGAAGACAAUGGAGGGAUUUGGAGUGGAGGGAUUCUGUUUACCGAUUUUAAUGGAUAUAACAUGUAUGAAUUGUUGUUGGAGGAUUUGAUACUUUGUUUCUUCCCGAAAGUUGGUGCUCAUGUAAUAUUAUAUGCCAUGUAUCUCUUACUUAGUAUGGUGUGAAUAAAAAGGGACUAGCUGAUAGCAUGCAGGAACUUCAAACACAGAUUGUCUGUUUAAGAAUACUUAGUGUAGUUUGCAGAUAUUUGUCUUGAUUCAUCA